AGAAUCAACGCUGGCGGCGUGCCUAACACAUGCAAGUCGCACGAGAAAGGGUAGCAAUACCUGAGUACAGUGGCGCACGGGUGAGUAACACGUGAAUAAUCUACCUCCGAGUGGGGAAUAACUGAGAGAAAUCUUAGCUAAUACCGCAUAACACUUACGAGUCAAAGCAGCAAUGCGCUUGGAGAGGAGUUCGCGGCAGAUUAGUUAGUUGGCGGGGUAAUGGCCCACCAAGACGAUGAUCUGUAUCCGGCCUGAGAGGGCGCACGGACACACUGGAACUGAAACACGGUCCAGACUCCUACGGGAGGCAGCAGUGGGGAAUUUUGCGCAAUGGGGGAAACCCUGACGCAGCAACGCCGCGUGGAGGAUGAAAUCCCUUGGGAUGUAAACUCCUUUCGAUCGGGAAGAUAAUGACGGUACCGAGAGAAGAGCCCGGCUAACUCGUGCCAGCAGCCGC
rnacentral:rRNA from 1 species